rnacentral:rRNA from 1 species
UACGGAGGGGGCUAGCGUUGUUCGGAAUUACUGGGCGUAAAGCGCACGUAGGCGGCUUUGCAAGUUAGAGGUGAAAGCCCGGGGCUCAACUCCGGAAUUGCCUUUAAAACUGCAUCGCUAGAAUUGUGGAGAGGUAAGUGGAAUUCCGAGUGUAGAGGUGAAAUUCGUAGAUAUCGGGAGGAACACCAGUGGCGAAGGCGGCCACCUGGACGGAUACUGACGCUGAGACGCGAAAGCGUGGGGAGCAAACAGG